rnacentral:rRNA from 1 species
UACGUAGGGUGCAAGCGUUGUCCGGAAUUAUUGGGCGUAAAGAGCUCGUAGGCGGUCUGUCACGUCGGCUGUGAAAUCCCGAGGCUCAACCUCGGGUCUGCAGUCGAUACGGGCAAACUAGAGUAUUGCAGGGGAGACUGGAAUUCCUGGUGUAGCGGUGAAAUGCGCAGAUAUCAGGAGGAACACCGGUGGCGAAGGCGGGUCUCUGGGCAAUAACUGACGCUGAGGAGCGAAAGCGUGGGGGAGCGAACAGG